rnacentral:misc_RNA from 1 species
UCUCCGUAGGUGAACCUGCGGAGGGAUCAUUACCGAGUGAGGGUCCUCGUGGCCCGACCUCCAACCCCCUGUCUUCCGACUCUGUUGCCUCGGGGGCGACCCGGCCUUCGGGCGUCGGGGCCCCCGGUGGACCACCCAACCCUGCAUCGUUGCGUCUGAGUCGAAAUAUAAAUCAAUCAAAACUUUCAACAACGGAUCUCUUGGUUCUGGCAUCGAUGAAGAACGCAGC